rnacentral:rRNA from 1 species
UGGUGGAGCGAUUUGUCUGGUUAAUUCCGAUAACGAACGAGACUCUGGCCUAUUAAAUAGUUCGCCGAUUCCGAUCUGUCGGCGUUAACUUCUUAGAGGGACAAGUGGCUACGUGAAAUAGCUACAUGAAAUGGGGCAAUAACA